UACGAGUGGUGCAAGCGUUGUUCGGAAUCACUGGGCAUAAAGCGCGCGCAGGCGGCGAUUCAAGUUAGCUGUGAAAUCCCUCGGCUCAACCGAGGAACUGCAGCUAAUACUAGGUCGCUAGAGGGUGGGAGGGGAGAACGGAAUUCCUGGUGGAGUGGUGAAAUACGUAGAUAUCAGGAGGAACGCCGGUGGUUAAAACGGUUCUCUGGUCCACUUACUGACGCUGAGGCGCGAAAGCUAGGGGAGCAAACAGG
rnacentral:rRNA from 1 species